rnacentral:tRNA from 1 species
GCCCGGGUGGCGAAAUUGGUAGACGCAAGGGACUUAAAAUCCCUCGGAGGCAACUCCAUGCCGGUUCGAUUCCGGCCCCGGGCACCA